GGGAUGUUCAUAAACCUUUGUUGUCCGACUCUGUUGCCGUCCGGGGGCGACCCUGCCUUUCAGGCGGGGGCUCCGGGUGGACACUUCAAACUCUUGCGUAACUUUGCAGUCUGAGUAAACUUAAUUAAUAAAUUAAAACUUUUAACAACGGAUCUCUUGGUUCUGGCAUCGAUGAAGAACGCAGCGAAAUGCGAUAAGUAAUGUGAAUUGCAGAAUUCAGUGAAUCAUCGAAUCUUUGAACGCACAUUGCGCCCCCUGGUAUUCCGGGGGGCAUGCCUGUUCGAGCGUCAUUUCACCACUCAAGCCUCGCUUGGUAUUGGGCAACGCGGUCCGCCGCGUGCCUCAAAUCGACCGGCUGGGUCUUCUGUCCCCUAAGCGUUGUGGAAACUAUUCGCUAAAGGGUGUUCGGGAGGCUACGCCGUAAAACAACCCCAUUUCUAAGGUUGACC
rnacentral:rRNA from 1 species